GAUGAACGCUGGCGGCGUGCCUAAUACAUGCAAGUCGAGCGAACAGAUAAGGAGCUUGCUCCUUUGACGUUAGCGGCGGACGGGUGAGUAACACGUGGGUAACCUACCUAUAAGACUGGAAUAACUCCGGGAAACCGGGGCUAAUGCCGGAUAACAUUUAGAACCGCAUGGUUCUAAAGUGAAAGAUGGUUUUGCUAUCACUUAUAGAUGGACCCGCGCCGUAUUAGCUAGUUGGUAAGGUAACGGCUUACCAAGGCAACGAUACGUAGCCGACCUGAGAGGGUGAUCGGCCACACUGGAAUUGAGACACGGUCCAGACUCCUACGGGAGGCAGCAGUAGGGAAUCUUCCGCAAUGGGCGAAAGCCUGACGGAGCAACGCCGCGUGAGUGAUGAAGGUCUUCGGAUCGUAAAACUCUGUUAUUAGGGAAGAACAAAUGUGUAAGUAACUGUGCACGUCUUGACGGUACCUAAUCAGAAAGCCACGGCUAACUACGUG
rnacentral:rRNA from 1 species